ACGCUCGACACCUAGAGGCAGCAGUGGGGAAUAUUGCACAAUGGGGGAAACCCUGAUGCAGCGACGCCGCGUGAGUGAAGAAGUAUUUCGGUAUGUAAAGCUCUAUCAGCAGGGAAGAAGAUGACGGUACCUGAGUAAGAAGCCCCGGCUAACUACGUGCCCGCAGCCGCGGUAAUCUGAGCGGGCUGGCAAGGC
rnacentral:rRNA from 1 species